rnacentral:rRNA from 1 species
CAGCCGCCGCGGGAAAACGAAGGGGGCUAGCGUUGUUCGGAUUUACUGGGCGUAAAGGGCGCGUAGGCGGACUGAUAAGUCAGGGGUGAAAUCCCAAGGCUCAACCUUGGAACUGCCUUUGAUACUGUUUGUCUUGAGUUCGAGAGAGGUAAGUGGAACUGCGAAUGUAGAGGUGAAAUUCGUAGAUAUUGGGAAGAACACCGGUGGCGAAGGCGGCGACCUGGUCCUUUACUGACGCUGAGGCGCGAAAGCGUGAGGAGCAAACAGGAUUAGAUACCCCCGUAGUCCCUGUCUCUUAUAC